AUUGAACGCUGGCGGCAUGCCUUACACAUGCAAGUCGAACGGCAGCACGGGAGCAAUCCUGGUGGCGAGUGGCGAACGGGUGAGUAAUGUAUCGGAACGUGCCUUGUCGUGGGGGAUAACGUAGCGAAAGCUACGCUAAUACCGCAUACCAUCUAAGGAUGAAAGCGGGGGAUCGCAAGACCUCGCGCUAUUGGAGCGGCCGAUGUCAGAUUAGGUUGUUGGUGGGGUAAAGGCCUACCAAGCCUGCGAUCUGUAGCUGGUCUGAGAGGACGACCAGCCACACUGGGACUGAGACACGGCCCAGACUCCUACGGGAGGCAGCAGUGGGGAAUUUUGGACAAUGGGCGCAAGCCUGAUCCAGCCAUGCCGCGUGC
rnacentral:rRNA from 1 species